rnacentral:lncRNA from 1 species
UUUAGUCAUGAAUUAAAAUGAAGGAAAUGGUUGUUGUUUCAUGUUCUUUUGAUGAAAAAUGGAAGAUAGGUGAAGUUGAGCCAAACAAAUGAGCAUGCAUGUGCCUUAGAUGUUAAAGGGAAAAAUCAGCUAACAUGUUGUGCUUUAAAAUGAUGAAAUGGAGAUUAUACUUUAGUAAAAUCAUAGAUAUGUGAUGAUUGAUUGGUGAUAUACAUGUUUAAAUAACAUGCAUGCAAGGUAUGUGUGAAAGAGUGAUUUGGUAAUAAAUCUGCUUGGGACAGCAGCAGUAACGUGACUUUGGAAAAUCACCAUAAA